AUGGUUACCCCAGUGAAUGCCACGCACCAUUUCCACUCUUCGAACAAACACUACAGGUCUUUUCUUUACAGCUUUUGUCUGGUUCCCCUCGUCCAACUAGGGUCAGAGCAGGACAGUAAGUGUCCUGAGUGGUUGCUGUUUUUCACACUAAGGAACUGCCUGUGCUGGUUUGGAUGUGCAGCCAUUCCCACACUGAGGCUCGAGACAAUGACGUCACGGCCCACAGGAAGAGAAGAGCAAGUUAAGAAACGUAAUAUGACUGACAAAUGAUCAGCAAAUGAUCUUUCGCUUGUUCAUAAUGCUCACGGAAGUAAAAACACCCAGAAAGAGCGAUCGCUAAAAGCAGCUAAUGCUAAUCAGAUCACAUAAAUCUGUGUAAAAAUGCAUAGAAAGAGUGUUGCAAAAUGCAAGUAAAAAAACUAAAGUAUAUAAGCUAAAUUGUAUAAGCUACUUCACUACUCUCCAGUAUUUAUAGCAACUUAUAUGAAUAGAGUGACAAAUUGCAUAGCAUUGAUAAUGUAAUUAUCAAUAUUUCGCCAUGUAAUUUCACAAAACUGCAUUAAAUCAACAUACAAACAGAAUUAUGUUGCAGUUGUAUAAUCAUUGGCUUCAUCUUUCACAUGCAGAAAUGUUCCUCUGCAUUCGUUUACAUCCAUUCCCACACUGAGGCUCGAGACAAUGGCGUCACGGCUCACAGAAAGAGAAGAGCAAGUUAAGAAACGUAAUAUGAUUGACAAAUGAUCACCAAAUGAUCCUUCGCUUGUUCAUAAUGCUCACGGAAGUAAAAACACCCGGAAAGAUCGAUCGCUAAAAGCAGCUAAUGCUAAUCAGAUUACAUAAAUCUGAGUAAAAUGCAUAGAAAAUGUGUUGCUACAAAAUGUAAGUAAAACAAAAUGUGCAAAUAAGUAAGUAAAUGUACCUCCAGACUAAAAGCCCACCUGCAUGCUGUAUAAUAAAAAUCUGUUAACAGAAAUAAACGAGACGUGACUAAACAUCUCUGUGUAAAUGUUGUUUUUCAAUACAGCAUACAACAUGUUAUAGACUGCAACAAGUCAACAAAGAAAAUAUUGAAACUGGAGUCCUAAACCUUUCUGACCAUGCUGUCCAGGUCACAUAAUAAAUGUGCGUGGCAUUAGCUUGCAGUGAAUGAAUUUACAGAAUACUUUUAGGCAGUCGGUGAUCUUUGCAUGUUAAAUAUGCUAACUUAUAUCUCAACUUUGCAAUGCAGCGAACUAAAAAACUUGUCGCACAUGCUUCCGUUUUCGGUCUGACACAUUUGCGUGCAUAUGAAUGGAAGUCUAUGGUGAGAAAAGUGCAAAGUGAGCACAACUUAAAGCUGGUUUCAGUAAAUCUCCAGCAUGUGCAUUCAGAUGUAACAGAAUUUAUUACAGCCAUAGAGUCAUUGUUCACUGAUAAGCAAUUUUAAAAAUCGUUUUAAAAUGGAAUUUGAUAAUAAUAUCAAGAUAAUUGAGUGAUAAUCACAGCUGUUUGCUUAGCUUCUCAAUUCACUAUGGCUUUGUGUAAAU
rnacentral:lncRNA from 1 species